AUUGAACGCUGGCGGCAUGCCUUACACAUGCAAGUCGAACGGUAACAGGUCUUCGGAUGCUGACGAGUGGCGAACGGGUGAGUAAUACAUCGGAACGUGCCUAGUAGUGGGGGAUAACUACUCGAAAGAGUGGCUAAUACCGCAUGAGAUCUACGGAUGAAAGCAGGGGAUCGCAAGACCUUGUGCUACUAGAGCGGCCGAUGGCAGAUUAGGUAGUUGGUGGGAUAAAAGCUUACCAAGCCGACGAUCUGUAGCUGGUCUGAGAGGGCGAUCAGCCACACUGGGACUGAGAAACGGCCUAGACUCCUACGGGAGGCAGCAGUGGGGAAUUUUGGACAAUGGGCGCAAGCCUGAUCAGCAAUGCCGCGUGCAGGAUGAAGGCCUUCGGGUUGUAAACUGCUUUUGUACGGAACGAAAAGCCCCGGGUUAAUACCCUGAGGUCAUGACGGUACCGUAAGAAUAAGCACCGGCUAACUACGUGCCAGCAGCCGCCGUAA
rnacentral:rRNA from 1 species